UGCAGAGCUUGUGCGAUUGGCG
rnacentral:miRNA from 1 species